UUUCAGGAGAUGACCCAUUCAUGGCCCCCACCGUUAUCAGCUAUUCAUACACCAGGAAAGGCAGAACAAAGCAAGUUUCCCUUCCCAAACAAGGAGUCACAACAGGGAUCUACAGGACACAGCAAUACAAGGAAAAGUGAUGUAGAGCCAAAGAGUCCAGAGAAAAACGCAACCCAUGCAUCGUAAGUCACUUUUGCAUUUAAGAUCGGAGAAGGCAGCUGUGUUUUUAUCAGAUUUGUUGGGCA